rnacentral:pre_miRNA from 1 species
AGUUGAUGUGACAUGCUAGUUGGGGUUUUAUUCUGAUAUUGAAUUAUUAUUAUUAUUAUUUAAUUGAUUUUGGGAAACGGGAUGUUACAUUAAC